GUCUCAAAAUGAUGCCCUUGAAAGACCUGUUCCCCUUUCAUCAAUGCACAGACGCAGAAGACCCCUCCAUCCUGCAGCCCGUGCCAGGAGCAUCAGGCUCCUGUGCUGUGCGGCCUUUUCUCUCCUGUGGCCAGGUCCAGUGAAUGCUGGUGUCACUCAGACCCCAAAAUUCCAAAUCCUGAAGACAGGACAGAACAUGACACUGAAGUGUGCCCAGGAUAUGAACCAUGACCGCAUGUACUGGUAUCGACAAGACACAGGCAUGGGACUGAGGCUGAUUCAUUACUCAGUUGGUGAAGGUAACACUGAGAAAGGAGAAGUCCCCAGUGGCUACAAUGCCUCCAGAUUAAACAAAAAGGAUUUCCUGCUCAGGUUGGAGUUGGCUGCUCCCUCCCAGACAUCUAUAUACUUCUGUGCCAGCAGUGAAGCCACAGUGCUGCAUGGCCGUCUCCUCUCUGCACAUAAAGGCAGGGGAGGUGCUGCCCUCAUCCCCACCCCAGACUCAGCAAUGCCCUUGGUCCUAGCACCAGAAACUUUGGAGCCCCAAUGGGCCUGGGCAAUGCCAGUCUUGGUCUGUGCCAGGUGCCUCUGCAGUCGGUCUCGGCCCGGCCUGGACUGGACUGGUCCCAGAGCCUCAGAUAUCUUCUUUGUCCCCCUCUGGUCUUUCCUCUGA